GGGAUCGGAGCUUGUCCGCGUGGCUUCGUGAGAAAGGGGAUAACGUGGGUUAACGAGUGGUUUCAGCUGGAUACAUAUGGCAAGGCCAACCCAAAGAAGCAACUACCUCUUCUUCACAAAUUACGCCACAAGAACAUUUGAUGCAUUUGAUAUACAUUUGAUUUCACUGAUUGGAAGCCAUCAUGAAGCACCACCACUAACCUGCCUGCUUGCUUUAGGGGACCUUUGCGAGACGCGCCUCCUUCAUCGAGCAGCGCUUUCUCCAAAGAGGUUACCGGCACUGACUGGAAUGCCGGGGAGAGACCAGACAGCCGAGGAGAAAGAGCCUCGCACCAGG